AAGGAUUUAAGUUAAACACAAACUAACAACCUUCAAAGUUGUCAACAGAAAUAAGGUCUAAGCCUUA
rnacentral:tRNA from 1 species